rnacentral:rRNA from 1 species
CCGACCGGCGCACGGGUGAGUAACGCGUAUGCAACUUACCUAUCAGAGGGGGAUAACCCGGCGAAAGUCGGACUAAUACCGCAUGAAGCAGGGGCCCCGCAUGGGGAUAUUUGCUAAAGAUUCAUCGCUGAUAGAUAGGCAUGCGUUCCAUUAGGCAGUUGGCGGGGUAACGGCCCACCAAACCGACGAUGGAUAGGGGUUCUGAGAGGAAGGUCCCCCACAUUGGAACUGAGACACGGUCCAA